rnacentral:rRNA from 1 species
AUACGUAGGGUGCGAGCGUUAAUCGGAAUUACUGGGCGUAAAGCGUGCGCAGGCGGUUUUGUAAGACAGUGGUGAAAUCCCCGGGCUCAACCUAGGAACUGCCAUUGUGACUGCAAGGCUGGAGUGCGGCAGAGGGGGAUGGAAUUCCGCGUGUAGCAGUGAAAUGCGUAGAUAUGCGGAGGAACACCGAUGGCGAAGGCAAUCCCCUGGGCCUGCACUGACGCUCAUGCACGAAAGCGUGGGGAGCAAACAGGAUUAGAUACCCUGGUAGUCCACGCCCUAAACGAUGUCAACUGGUUGUUGGGAAUUUAUUUUCUCAGUAACGAAGCUAACGCGUGAAGUUGACCGCCUGGGGAGUACGGCCGCAAGGUUAAAACUCAAAGGAAUUGACGGGG